AUUCUCGCCUAGAGCUCAGGGGUGUCUUGAGAAGUUUCUGCCCUGUCCCUGUGGAAUAUACAAGACACAAAGAAGCCUACUACCCUGUCAAGAAGGCAGCUAAGGAUCUCCUAUGGCAAUACUCUGAGUUGUAACUCAAUGUAUAGCAAGACCGUGAAGCACUCUUUCAUCAAUCAAACUUGCUUUGAGUCCAGGACCAGGAGAACAUGUGACCAGCCUGUGACAGUUGCUGAGGCAGAGACUAGAGGUCUAUAGGAG
rnacentral:lncRNA from 1 species